UACAGAGGUCUCAAGCGUUGUUCGGAUUCAUUGGGCGUAAAGGGUGCGUAGGUGGCAUGUUAAGUUUGAUGUGAAAGCUCAGGGCUUAACCCUGAAAUGGCAUUGAAUACUAGCGUGCUGGAGGUUUGGAGGGGGGACUGGAAUUCUCGGUGUAGCAGUGAAAUGCGUAGAUAUCGAGAGGAACACCAGUGGCGAAGGCGAGUCCCUGGACAACACCUGACACUGAGGCACGAAAGCCGGGGGAGCAAACAGG
rnacentral:rRNA from 1 species